GACGUAGGGGGCGAGCGUUGUCCGGAUUCAUUGGGCGUAAAGCGCACGUAGGCGGAUCUUUAAGUCAGGGGUGAAAUCCUGGAGCUCAACUCCAGAACUGCCUUUGAUACUGGGGAUCUCGAGUCCGGAAGAGGUGAGUGGAACUCCGAGUGUAGAGGUGAAAUUCGUAGAUAUUCGGAAGAACACCAGUGGCGAAGGCGGCUCACUGGUCCGGUACUGACGCUGAGGUGCGAAAGCGUGGGGAGCAAACAGG
rnacentral:rRNA from 1 species